UGCAAACACACAUGCACACUCCAAGAGGAACACACGCCCCCUUCCAAAAAGAGAAAAAAAAAAAAUCAUUCUACAAGUUGCAGGAUACCGCCUCGUUGACAUCUGAAGGUGAUUCAUUGUCACUUUUGGACUGUCCAACUCGGCUGCUGCAGCAUAUUGGCUGACGUUUGGAGGACAGGAACAGGAACAGGAGCAGGACACACUUACCCAUCAGCAGCACCACAGACAUGUCGGACUCCGAGACCGCCGCUGCCGCACCAGCCGAGGCCCCAGUUCCUGCUCCCUGUGCCAGUAUCAAGGCCGAUCUGGACAAAUGUGUGGCGGAGAAGGGAGUAGAAGCAUGCAAAGACCUCCUGGAGGCCUUCGAAGCAUGUGUGAAGAGCUCUGCCGAGGGGACAUCAUGAGCCAGGAGUUGUUGUGCAAACCUCAAUAUCCACUGCACUAAGUCUUCCGAGUUCCCGCCAUUCCCUUCUGCACACCGACCGGCACAGGACUGAAUGGCAACAACAACGAUGAUGCUCACGGUGUGACGAGCACUGUGUGGAUUCGGGCUGAGUUUGGGACCUGGCAGCAGUAACCAUAUUUUCCUUGUCUGUCCUCCAUCCCUCCUUCUGUUUCAACCCUUGUCCUUCAGUCUUCCGCCAUUCCCUCUCUCCCACUAUGGCUAUUGACUUGUUGAUACUUCCAGAGAACUAAUGGCUAGUUAUGUAAAUUCUUGAGAUGAAUACUAUCAAUGGAAAUAAAAGUACAAAAUGA